AUAAAUCGAACUCUGCAAACUCGAAACCCUACACCACUCACUAUGGGAGUCUCUCAGCUUUGGCGUUUUUUUCUCUCUUUGAUACACACAGAAAUUGGUAGUAUUUCUUAUUUUUGUUCUAAUAAUAAUGUUCAUCAUGAUUAUCAUUAUUUCAUCUCUGAACCCUAGAAAACUGGGUAUUGCUACUUUAAUCUUUCGAUUUCAUCAUUUGCUUCACUCACCAAUUGUAUGAUUCUUUGAGCUUUCUCGAAUCGGAGAAAUAGGUUAUCUUUUUAGCUUCUAUUCCUCACUUCUUAAGCUUACAUUUCAAAUUUGAGAGAUACUGAGGUUUCUGGACAAUCCUUACUCACAAGUAUUUUUUUCCUCUCUGGUUCUUCUUGUGGACAAUCGAAGAGCACUAAUAAAUUAUAGGAAGUUUAUAAUUCAAGGAACUGAGACAACCACAUUAUUAUUUAAGGUAUUUCUUUUCUUUUUUUAUUUUUAUAUUAGCUAUGUAUGGAUAAACAACUUAAUUGAUGUGUUAUUUACUUGUACAUUUGUAUAAAAAUUAUUCCCCUUCUAAGUUCUUUAACAUCAAAGGGUUAACUUGUUCAUUUCUUUGUUAGUUUGGAAACUUAAAAAUGCAGCUUGGUUGUGCAUGACGAACAAAGCUCCAAAUGUUGGUAUUAUUAUUUGUUUGGUUUUAUAACAUGAUUAUAUGAUACCUAGCUUCUAGAGUUUGUGGUUUUAUUAUAUGGAUAAUUCUACCUUGUCUCUACUAAAUUUGGGGCUGAUGGUCCUUUUAUAAUGUGAGAUAUUUACUUGUACAUUGGUAAAACUUUUCAAUUUUUCUUCAUUCCCUCAUAUUUUAAUGAUUUCUAUUCUUAUUUGUUCUAUUUUCUUAUGUUAUGAGACUCAUGACAUUGUCUUUUAGGUUUAUGACUUAUGUUAUUUUUAGUCAUGAAUCUUAUUUAUUGCAAUAUGUUUGUAGUUUAUUGUUCUUUGGGUGUUUAAUGUUUCAUUUUAUCAUAGUAUAUUCAUUACAGGUUAAGGAGAAGCUUGUGGACUUUGUCCACUAUUUGCAUUUUGAGAUAAAUAAUGCUUUUGGCAGUGUAGGUAUGUACCUAAGAAAGACUUUCCAAUUGUACUUGCUUUGCUUUAUUACACUGUCUAGUCACGAGUUUGAUUUUUGCUGCCCUAUUAUUCUAGUUGCAUUAUAAUUCAUAAUAAUAUUGAAUUUGUUCUACUUCUAUUGAUUGAUACAUUCACUUAAAGGCAUACUUAUUUAGCAUUGUCUUCUUUGAUAUGAUAUUUGUCACUAACUUUGAUUAUUUUGUUUACAGAGAAUUGACCUACUCCACCAGAUUGAUACAUUCACAAGUCAUUCUACAAGAGUUUUAAAAGAUUUGUUGCAGACAUUGCAGAAAUUGAUUCGGUACAUAUGCAUUUUAUUUAUACUAGACUUGGAUUAGAUUUGAUCAUUUUAGGUAUAUACUCCAAUCUUCUCUAUAAAUGUCUCACAAUCUUGCACCCUAGAAGCUAGAAACGAUAGAUUUAUUUUAGUUUCGGAGAUAGAAAAGGUUUUGCAGGUCUCCAUGGUAGGAUGUGAUAGUAAAAGACACUCGACACUAUACGCCGGAAUCCCAUGAUACGCUGAUAAGUCUAGGGCAAAUCAAGCUACUCUUGAUAAGGUAUUUUAAUUAUUUCUCUAUUCUCAAUAUAUUGCAUGUGUGAGUGUGUGUGUGUGUGUGUGUGUGUGUGUGUGUGUGUGUGUGUGUGUGUGUGUGUGUAUCAGAACUGAAACUCACAAUCUCAGAUCAUUUGUUGAUUGCAUUGUGAUUAGUUUUUUAAAUUUCUUUUAUAGCAUUGAGAUUUGUUGAUAGCAUUUGUUAACAAGGAAAGCUUUUAUGAUCCAGUAUUUAAUAGCUUUUCUGCAUUGUUAAAAUCAAUGGUUACACAGGGUAUAAUGGGUUUGUGCAUUGUCUAUGAAUCAAUCCUAAAGUGAUCUUGAGUGAGGAGGCUUGUAUAAAAGUAUUCAUUUUCUGUUGUCCAGAAGAAAUUAUGUAGGAGAAAAAUUAAUGAAUAUACGGUCUACUAAGUUCUUAUAAUUUCAGGUACGUGAGGUGAGUUCACGUCCGGAAAGAGCUGGAUUGGGAGCAGCAUGGCAAAUUCAAAUGUUGGCAGUGGGUAUGUUUAUGGAGCUGUAAUAAAGAAGAGAUGCUUCUUUCAUAGGCUUUGCAUGAUUUAGUGCUAAGGAUUAGG
rnacentral:lncRNA from 1 species